rnacentral:rRNA from 1 species
UACGAAGGGGGCUAGCGUUGCUCGGAAUGACUGGGCGUAAAGGGCGCGUAGGCGGAUGGCUUUGUCGGGCGUGAAAUUCCAGGGCUUAACCUUGGGGCUGCGUUCGAGACGGGUUGUCUUGAGUGGGGAAGAGGGUCGUGGAAUUCCCAGUGUAGAGGUGAAAUUCGUAGAUAUUGGGAAGAACACCGGUGGCGAAGGCGGCUCUCUGGACCGUAACUGACGCU